rnacentral:lncRNA from 1 species
CUGCCUUUUAGCCUCAACCCGGGUGAUGGGGGAGGAUCCAUUUGAGAGCGAGGCUGUGGCCCCAAGGAAAGACAAUUGUCAUAGCUUAGCCCUGAACACAGAGGAUCCAAGCCGAGGACUGGUUCAAAAGCCCUUUGCUGAGGUUGUGACUGGAGAAGACUCAUUGAGAGAGAAGAUUAUAGACAGUGAAAAGCUUCAUGUGGGUAAGGGAGAGCUGGUAUGUCACAGGAAGUCACAUACCCUUCAAAGUACCUGUGCUGCUUCAGGGAUCCUGGCAUUGCCUCACAGACUGUCCUCAGGACCACUUUCAAAAGAGCAAGGUAAGUAGAGACGUAGAGACGGGGCUUUUGGGGGACCUGUGGCUGUGUAGUUGCAGGUUUGGGAGGCAGCACUGACAGGUAGCUAGCCACCUGCCCCAGCCCAGCAUUCUGUUUUUUUUUUUUUUUUUUUUUUUUUCUGUUAGAUUUAUUUUAUGUGUAAGAGCAUUUUCCCUGCAUAUGUGUCUGUGCCCCAUGAGUGCGCCUGGUGCCUGUGGAAGUCAUAAGAGGAGGGCCUUGGAUCUCUUGGAAUUAGUUAUAGAUGGUUGUGGGUGCUAGAAAUUGAACCCAGGUCAUCGGCAAGAGCUGCAAAUGAUCUUAGUCACUUAGCCAUUCCUCCAGCCCCAUGCUUGGGCUUCUUCAUCUUGCUGGUGUUCACUGGCCUACAUCUUGGAGCGUACAUACUUUCUUCCUGCUCGAGUGCCUCCUAAGGCUUGGUCAGCCAGGCAUCCACACAGACUCAGCUCUGCCCCCAAACCCUGGACUUUUACCAGGAUUGCAAACUUGUCUGCUUCUUUA